rnacentral:rRNA from 1 species
CCUACGGGUGGCAGCAGUGGGGAAUAUUGGGCAAUGGGCGCAAGCCUGACCCAGCAACGCCGCGUGAAGGAAGAAGGCUUUCGGGUUGUAAACCUCUUUUCUCAGGGACGAAGCAAGUGACGGUACCUGAGUAAUAAGCCACGCCGAACUACGUGCCAGCAGCCGCGGUAAUACGUUGGUGGCAAGCGUGAUCCGGAUUUACUGGGUGUAAAGGGCGUGUAGGCGGGGACGUAAGUCAGAUGUGAAAACCACGGGGCCCAACUGUGGCCUGCAUUUGAAACUGUGUUUCUUGAGUACUGGAGAGGCAGGCGGAAUUCCUAGUGUAGCGGUGAAAUGCGUAGAUAUUAGGAGGAACACCAGUGGCGAAGGCGGUCUGCUGGACAGCAACUGACGCUGAGGCGCGAAAGCGUGGGGAGCGAACAGGAUUAGAUACCCCAGUAGUC